rnacentral:rRNA from 1 species
AGUGAACGCUGGCGGUAGGCCUAACACAUGCAAGACGAACGGCAGCACAGUAAGAGCUUGCUCUUACGGGUGGCGAGUGGCGGACGGGUGAGGAAUACAUCGGAAUCUACUUUUUCGUGGGGGAUAACGUAGGGAAACUUACGCUAAUACCGCAUACGACCUACGGGUGAAAGCAGGGGAUCUUCGGACCUUGCGCGAUUGAAUGAGCCGAUGUCGGAUUAGCUAGUUGGCGGGGUAAAGGCCCACCAAGGCGACGAUCCGUAGCUGGUCUGAGAGGAUGAUCAGCCACACUGGAACUGAGACACGGUCCAGACUCCUACGGGAGGCAGCAGUGGGGAAUAUUGGACAAUGGGCGCAAGCCUGAUCCAGCCAUACCGCGUGGGUGAAGAAGGCCUUCGGGUUGUAAAGCCCUUUUGUUGGGAAAGAAAAGCAGCAGGUUAAUACCCCGCUGUUCUGACAGUACCCAAAGAAUAAGCACCGGCUAACUUCGUG